rnacentral:rRNA from 1 species
AUGACCAUAGACAAUUCAAGGAAAAGGCACAUUAUCAAGCCCCUUGACUAUGUUUUCUAUGCAGGAGUGAAAACAAUCUCUCACUUGUUCUUUGAUUGUGUAGUGGUUACAAGUAUCUGGUCUUUUAUCAGUGAUUUGUUCAAUACCCCUAUCGGGACUAAUUUUGAAUCCGUGGCUAGGUAUUUUAUUUCUAAUAAGAAGAAUUCUACUUUGGAUACCAUUAGUUCAGCUAUCCUCUGGUGUACGUGGAAAUAUAGGAACUCUAUGAUUUUUAACAACAUUGUUUCAAUAUCUGUUACUCAUGUGUGGAGACUAAUACUCAAAACUAUCAAAUUCUGGGCGGUCCUAUCUCCAAAGAAAAGCAGAACGAGGUUGGAGGACUUCUUGAGCUCCCUCACAAACUUCACUCAGUAGCCAUUGAGGAUCUUGAGUGGCUAA